GACAGAGGGUGCAACGUUGUUCGGAAUUACUGGGCGUAAAGCGCGUGUAGGCGGCUAAGUAAGUCGGGCGUGAAAUCCCACGGCUCAACCGUGGAAGUGCACUCGAAACUGCGUAGCUAGAGUCCUGGAGAGGAAGGUGGAAUGCUUGGUGGUAGAGGUGAAAUUCGUAGAUAUCAAGCGGAACACCGGUGGCGAAGGCGGCCUCUGGACAGUGACUGACGCUG
rnacentral:rRNA from 1 species